UACGUAGGGUGCAAGCGUUAAUCGGAAUUAUUGGGCGUAAAGCGUGCGUAGGUGGUGAUGUAAGACAGGGGUGAAAUCCCCGGGCUUAACCUGGGAACUGCAUUUGUGACUGCAUCGCUGGAGUGCGGCAGAGGGGGAUGGAAUUCCGCGUGUAGCAGUGAAAUGCGUAGAUAUGCGGAGGAACACCGAUGGCGAAGGCAAUCCCCUGGGCCUGCACUGACGCUCAUGCACGAAAGCGUGGGGAGCAAACAGG
rnacentral:rRNA from 1 species